UACGGAGGGGACAAGCGUUGUUCGGAAUUACUGGGCGUAAAGGGCGCGUAGGCGGCCUGCUAAGUCGGAUGUGAAAUCCCUCGGCUCAACCGAGGAACUGCAUCCGAUACUGGCGGGCUUGAAUCCGGGAGAGGGAUGUGGAAUUCCAGGUGUAGCGGUGAAAUGCGUAGAUAUCUGGAGGAACACCGGUGGCGAAGGCGGCAUCCUGGACCGGUAUUGACGCUGAGGCGCGAAAAGCUAGGGGAGCAAACGGG
rnacentral:rRNA from 1 species